GGGCCCGCACAAGCGGUGGAGCAUGUGGUUUAAUUCGAUGAUACGCGAGGAACCUUACCAGGUCUUAAAUGCAUAACGAACGAUUGGGAAACCAAUCUUUCUUCGGACGGAAUGCAAGGUGCUGCAUGGUUGUCGUCAGCUCGUGCCGUGAGGUGUCAGGUUAAGUCCUAUAACGAGCGCAACCCCUAUUCUUAGUUGCCAGCGGUUCGGCCGGGGACUCUAAGAAAACUGCCAGUGCAAGCUGUGAGGAAGGUGGGGAUGACGUCAAAUCAUCACGGCCCCUUGACGAACCCUGGGCCACACACGUGCUACAAUGGUAGGUACAAAGGGCAGCCACUUGGCGACAAGGAGCU
rnacentral:rRNA from 1 species